UCCGGCUUAUCACCGGCAGUUUCUCUAGAGUGCCCAACUAAAUGGUAGCAACUAGAGACGAGGGUUGCGCUCGUUGCGGGACUUAACCCAACAUCUCACGACACGAGCUGACGACAGCCAUGCAGCACCUGUCCUGGUGUCCCGAAGGAGGCCCCGGCUUUCACCGGGGUUUCACCAGGAUGUCAAGCCCAGGUAAGGUUCUUCGCGUUGCUUCGAAUUAAACCACGUGCUCCACCGCUUGUGCGGGCCCCCGUCAAUUCCUUUGAGUUUCAGCCUUGCGGCCGUACUCCCCAGGCGGGGUGCUUAACGCGUUAGCUCCGACGCUGACGGGGUCGCUCCCCCCAGCAUCUAGCACCCAUCGUUUACGGCGUGGACUAC
rnacentral:misc_RNA from 1 species